AUGGAUUUUGGAUUGAGUUGGGUUUUUAUGCUGGCCAUUAUCUAUGGUGUCCAGUGUGAGGUGCAGCUGGUGGAAUCUGGAGGCGAUCUGAGAAAGCCUGGCGGGUCUCUGACACUCUCCUGUGCAACAUCUGGAUUCACCUUCAGUGACUAUUAUAUUAGUUGGAUUGGACAGUUUCCAGGACAGAGACUGGAGUGGGUUGGUUUUAUUAGAAAUGCAGCCAAUGGCCAAACAACAGAGUAUGCUUCAUCUGUGAAAGGCAGAUUCACCAUUUCAAGAGAUAAUGCCAAAAGCGUCGCCUAUUUGCAAAUGAAUGGACUGAAACAAGAGGACACAGCCAUGUAUUACUGUGUGAGACACACAGUGAAGUCUGCUCAGUGUAAGCCCAAACACAAACCUCACUUACAGUGA